AAUAAAGUGCCUGAAAAAGGGUUAUCUUGAUAGGAUAAAUCAUAUACAUAAAAUAUCUUUAUUA
rnacentral:tRNA from 1 species